UCCCUCAUAUCUGAUAUUUGUAAGACAGCCAGCCCUGUGAAAACAUAUGUGAGUGUUUCUCUGAUAGCCUCUAACUGUGCCUACACGCACUGUUGACAAAAGCUGUUUACAUCAAUCUGGAUCGUAGCGAAAAAAUUCCACAUUGCCCUGCCAGAGUUAUUUGUGGUCUGGACAGCGUGAGCAUGUCCCUGAUGCUUGUGUUGUUUUUAAUGAGAUGAUGAUCCACUGCCUGCCAAAGCACUGCAUCUGUGAUUCAAACAACACUAAGGCUGCGAGCUCGGAGGAAGUGCUGGUCUUCCCAUAAACGAAAUUAAUGAUGUGUCAGAAUCCAGGCUUACUACUGUGGAUGGUUUUUGUGGAAGUGGACCACACUACAAUCGAGGUGGCUUUUCUGUUUAACCCUAAACAGAAGCAUAAAGAGGUACUGAAGCCACUCUGAAGAGAGAUCCUCCUUCUGACCAGCAUAGAGACAUCUUUAGGUCCACAGCUAAGAAAUGAUUGCCACGUUCCUAUGGCCCUCUGUGCUGAACACUCCAUUCAAUUUAGGUUAAACAGUCAAACAGUGACGGGACUUAACAACAAUUAAAAGAGAAUCAUCAACGGGAGUCAUCCUAGUUCAUGCUUUUAAUAAAUAGUGUUAACAAAUAAUAUUGUUGUACACAAAAAAAGUUGUCUCUUUCUUCUCAGAUGGCUGAAUGGCCCUUGAAAUUUUAGAAAAGGGCGAAUUGUGUUUGUCUUUAUAAAAUGCUUUGUA
ensembl:lncRNA